rnacentral:tRNA from 1 species
GCCUCGGUGGCUCUGAGGCGAGAGCGUCGGCCUACGGAUCCCAAUGUGGCGGGUUCGAAUCCCGGCCGAGGUG